AUGGGACACUCUCAGAACCUCUGUGGAUACAGUCCUAAAAAAUCUCAAGUCUUCUCAUCUGAGUUUGUAGCUUCUUCUAGUCAGAAGCAUGAUUACUUAGAGGAGAAAUUGGCUUAUGUAGUUUCCAUUCAAGAGGUCUUUUUUGCUAAGCAAGAAGAGAUGGAUGUUCAUAUGAAGCUAGUGACUAUUGUAACACCCUAA